UAUGAUGUCUGAUUAAAAAAUUAGGCCUUAAUCCUGUCACCUUAGGUCGAUCGGUACCUCAGACUAAAAACAAAAUUGUGAAAGCAUUUUUAAUAAUUUUUAGUUUUAGUUCCUAAACUUGUCUAGGUCACACCCAACAAACUUUUCUCCUGGGCUAUUAGCUCAGGCGGUUAGAGCGCACCCCUGAUAAGGGUGAGGUCCCUGGUUCAAGUCCAGGAUGGCCCAUUCGUUGUUGGGGGUAUAGCUCAGUUGGUAGAGCGCCUGCUUUGCAAGCAGGAUGUCAGCGGUUCGAGUCCGCUUACCUCCACUGAAUAACUGCCUGAUAACUCAAUUUGGAGAUUGUCGUUUGUUGUAUGUGACUUAGAGUUGCUCCUCUGAUUGGAACCUAGCUUCCCAUCACUCCUAAUACUUUUAGGCUGAUAAGACGCUGGGCUCACUAAAUAUUCUUAAGAUUAUUUAGUUUGAUUCAGUAGAACCUUGACAACUGCAUAGGAAAGUCUGGAAAGAAUAAAGCAUCUCAUAGAUGCAUAUAAGUCUCAUGAUUUAGCUUUAUUGCUAAUGAAUGAUUUUUAUAUGAUUAAUUCUUGAGUUAGAGCAAUUAUCUAUAAGAUUAUUUCCAUUGAUUGAUUUAGUGGAUUAC
rnacentral:tRNA from 1 species